rnacentral:rRNA from 1 species
CGGACGGGUGAGUAACGCGUGGAUAACCUGCCUCACACAGGGGGAUAACAGUUAGAAAUGACUGCUAAUACCGCAUAAGCGCACAGUACCGCAUGGUACAGUGUGAAAAACUCCGGUGGUGUGAGAUGGAUCCGCGUCUGAUUAGGUAGUUGGUGGGGUAACGGCCUACCAAGGCGACGAUCAGUAGCCGACCUGAGAGGGUGACCGGCCACAUUGGGACUGAGACACGGCCCAA